AAGCAAGUGAGCAAAUUUUCCGGAGAGCGCCAGGCUGCGGAGCGGAAGGGGUUAUUCCCACUGAGACGCAGGCGUUCGGCUCCUAGAGCGGCCGGGCGGGAGGAGCGCAGCUUCGAGCGGCAGGAGGAGCGCGCCUUCUGGGGCGGGAUUCAGGACAGGUUCGCGGAGGGAGGAUCAGACGCUGAAGUCCUCUGCCCAUUCUUGCUGUCACCGGUGAGCUUUGGGAGCCACCCCCCACCCCCGGAGGCCUUCCAUGGGUCAGCCGGAGAUGGAGAUGGACCCGGCCUCAUGUCGACAGACACUUGCUGCGUAACCAAGGCACCUACCACAGAUUGCCCACAGGCUGGGCUUCCAGACAUCGCUGUCGCGGGGUUCAUUCGUGCACCCUCGUAUCCAAACUUCAGCUGCCUUUCCCACCUGCCACUUAGCCACUUCCUGAGUUCCAGCUUCCCAGGAGACUCCACACAGACUCUCCUACCUGUGACCACUGUGUAGUCAGUCCUUGGCUGACUUCAGAUCCAAACCCUUCAGCUUGGCAUUCAAGGCAGUUUGAAAUGUGGAUCCAGUCCCAGGCUGGCUGGUGCUAUUGAGAAAUGGAUUUCACCCCGGGGCAGUCAAAGAGGGAACCAAUCUCAACGUUUGUCACCAUCUUUUUUUUUUUUUAAAGAUUUAUUUAUUUAUAUGUAAGUACACUGUCGCUGUCUUCAGACACACCAGAAGAGGGCAUCAGAUCUCAUUACAGAUGGUUGUGAGACAUUUGUCACCAUCUUAACAAAGAAUAGGCCGACUGAAAUAUUGACCUAGCAGACAACUUCAGAACAUUCCAGCAAGUACUGCAGAGCACACAUUCUUCUCAGUAGCCCCCGGGACUUUCUCUAAAAUAAAUUACUGUUAGGAUGCA
rnacentral:lncRNA from 1 species